GAUGAAGAACGUAGCGAAAUGCGAUACGUAAUGUGAAUUGCAGAAUUCAGUGAAUCAUCGAAUCUUUGAACGCAAAUUGCACCUCUCGGUAUUCCGGGAGGUAUGCCUGUUCGAGCGUCAUUUGUACCCUCAAGCUCUGCUUGGUGUUGGGUGUUUGUUCCGCCUCUGUGUGUGAACUCGCCUCAAAACAAUUGGCAGCCGGCGUACUUGUUUCGGAGCGCAGCACAUUUUGCGAUCCAGAUCAACGUACAGCGGCAUCCAAGAAGCCUUAUUUAACGCUCUUGACCUCGGAUCAGGUAGGGAUACCCGCUGAACUUAAGCAUAUCAAUAAGCGGAGGA
rnacentral:misc_RNA from 1 species